rnacentral:tRNA from 1 species
GGGGAUGUGGCUCAAUUGGUAGAGUGCCUGUCUAGCAUGCACAAAGCCCUGAAUUCAACUUCUAGCAUCCCAU